rnacentral:rRNA from 1 species
CCUACGGGGGGCAGCAGUGGGGAAUAUUGGACAAUGGGGGAAACCCUUAUCCAGCGACGCCGCGUGAGGGAAGAAGGUUUUCGGAUUGUAAACCUCUGUCAGUGGGGACGAUAAUGACGGUACCCACGGAGGAAGCCACGGCUAACUACGUGCCAGCAGCCGUGGUAAUACGGAGGUGGCAAGCGUUGUCCGGAAUUACUGGGCGUAAAGGGAGCGUAGGCGGGAUGUCAAGUCAGCAGUGAAAAUUAUGGGGUCAAGUCAUAACCUGCUGUUGAAACUGAUAUCCUUGAGUGAAGUAGAGGCAGGCGGAAUGCGUGGUGUAGCGGUGAAAUGCGUAGAUAUUGGGAAGAACGCCGGUGGCGAAGGCGGCUUGCUGGGCUUAUACUGACGCUGAGGCACGAAAGCGUGGGGAGCGAACAGGAUUAGAUACCCCAGUAGUC